GACAGAGGGUGCAAACGUUGUUCGGAUUCACUGGGCGUAAAGGGUGCGUAGGUGGCGUGGUAAGUUUGAUGUGAAAGCUCAGGGCUUAACCCUGAAAUGGCAUUGAAUACUACUGUGCUGGAGGUUUGGAGGGGGGAAUGGAAUUCUUGGUGUAGCAGUGAAAUGCGUAGAUAUCAAGAGGAACACCAGUGGCGAAGGCGAGUCCCUGGACAACACCUGACACUGAGGCACGAAAGCUAGGGGAGCAAACAGG
rnacentral:rRNA from 1 species